UUGUAAAGUAAAAAAAGGCAAUUGUGGUUGAUUUAAAUUUGUACGCAUUAAACACUGAUAAGCCGAUUUCACAUGUCAAGGUAACACAACUGUUGCCCAUACCUUGCGGCAACAAGAUCCUAUAUUCCAGCUGCAGUUAAAUCAAAUGAAGGCACAGGUUAACAGCUUACGUAUAGAGGCCCCCCUUGUUGAAACCUGUCAGAAAAUAUCUGUUUGGCCAGGUGUAACGUGCAAUAUACCGUUCGAUAUAGUAAAAUCGGUACCCGACUUUAAUGGUGUUGCUGACGAAUAGCAGCAUGGAGGCAAUCCGCCACAGAUGCUUACGAGCCUUUCAAACCAUACGAUGGCAGUAGUGGCCAUUACCAAGUCGUUAAAACAAAAUUCGAGGACCAGCAAGAGCAUUACUAGUUUCUCGCAAUACGGUAGUAAGCUACAGCAAAGCUAGGUUAGACUGUACCUAUGCUAAUAAGACAUCACAACGCCUUCUGCGACAGGGGCUAGAGAUGGUCAGAUAAGGUGAUUUAGGACUCAUGGAUUAUUACAAUGAAGCUGAACAAAUGUCGACAUAAGUAAACAAUAAAAUUGUCAUGUCCCACGAAACUGUAAAAAAAA